CACCGCGUAGUGUAGUGGUUAGCACGCUCGACUGACAAUCGAGAGGCCCAGGUUCGAGUCCGGCUGCGGCGA
rnacentral:tRNA from 1 species